rnacentral:rRNA from 1 species
CCUACGGGGGGCUUCAGUGAGGAAUAUUGGUCAAUGGUCGGGAGACUGAACCAGCCAAGCCGCGUGAGGGAUGAAGGUACAGAGUAUCGUAAACCUCUUUUGUCAGGGAACAAAGGCGGGGACGUGUCCCCGGCUGAGUGUACCUGAAGAAAAAGCAUCGGCUAACUCCGUGCCAGCAGCCGCGGUAAUACGGAGGAUGCGAGCGUUAUCCGGAUUUAUUGGGUUUAAAGGGUGCGCAGGCGGUCUGUUAAGUCAGCGGUCAAAGCCCGGGGCUCAACCCCGGCCCGCCGUUGAAACUGGCAGUCUCGAGUUGGAGAGAAGUAUGCGGAAUGCGCGGUGUAGCGGUGAAAUGCAUAGAUAUCGCGCAGAACUCCGAUUGCGAAGGCAGCAUGCCGGCUCCACACUGACGCUGAGGCACGAAAGCGUGGGUAUCGAACAGGAUUAGAUACCCCAGUAGUC